AGUAUAUAAGGAAUGCUAGGCGAGAAGCAUGGAAGAGGAUUUUUCUCAGAGCAAACUUAGCACUUAGAGCAAUUAGGCAUAUUUCCGUUUUUUGUUAUUCGAGCUGCGACUCAACUAGGUUAUUGCCGUCUUAGGGUUUUAGAACUAGGAAUCUCGCCGACAGCUCUCGUAGCCCAGGCUCUUAGCCCAAGCUCUUACCUUGUUGUAAUGCUCAAACGCGAAUUCGAAAUAAGAUCUACUUUUCUCUCUUUUCGAUUUCGUAUACUUUAUCGUCGUUAUUCUUGUGUUCUGAUUGCUUGGCGUGUGGUAUUAGCAGAUAUCCGGGACCUCUGGGUAAUUAGGGCUUUCCUAGUUUCCUUAUUUAAAC
rnacentral:lncRNA from 1 species